CCUCCUUUCUAAGGAUGAAUAAAAGUAAAAUUUUAUUCUAAAUAAUAUACAGGUUAAUGUUGACCGUCCUCAUUUCUCUUCUUAAAGUAGUGUUUCCAUCUUGUAGGGCCGGUAGCUCAGUUGGUUAGAGCACACCCUUGAUAAGGGUGGGGUCGAAAGUUCGAGUCUUUCUCGGCCCACCAAAUUUAACUGGGGGAUUAGCUCAGCUGGGAGAGCGCCUGAUUUGCAUUCAGGAGGUCAGCGGUUCGAUCCCGCUAUCCUCCACCAGGAAACAUUUAGCUAUUUUUUUUGUGAAUAUUUAAUAAUUUAUAUCAAUAUCUAUAUCCGAACAUUAAUUUGUUUAUUAAUGUUCAAAUAAAAAUUUGAUUCAACACAGAAUUUUUUUCUGUGCAUAAAUCAAGCGUUUAAGGGCGUGUGGCGGAUGCCUNGGCACUGAAAGCCGAUGAAGGACGUGGUAUACUGCGAUAAGUUACGGGGAGCUGUAUGCAAGUUUGGAUCCGUANAUUUCCGAAUGGGG
rnacentral:misc_RNA from 1 species